rnacentral:rRNA from 1 species
AGGAUUCCCCUAGUAACGGCGAGUGAAGCGGGAAGAGCUCAAAUUUGAAAUCUGGUGGCCUCAGGUCAUCCGAGUUGUAAUCUAUAGAAGUGUUUUCCGUGCUGGCUCAUGUACAAGUCCCUUGGAACAGGGCGUCAUAGAGGGUGAGAAUCCCGUCCUUGACAUGAACUACCAGUGCUCUGUGAUACAUUUUCAACGAGUCGAGUUGUUUGGGAAUGCAGCUCAAAAUGGGUGGUAAAUUCCAUCUAAAGCUAAAUAUUGGCGAGAGACCGAUAGCGAACAAGUACCGUGAGGGAAAGAUGAAAAGCACUUUGGAAAGAGAGUUAAACAGUAUGUGAAAUUGUUGAAAGGGAAACGAUUGAAGUCAGUCGUGCUCUUUGGAUUCAGCCGGUUCUGCCGGUGUACUUCCUUUGAGUGGGGUCAACAUCAGUUUUGAUCGCUGGAUAAAGGCUGGAGGAACGUAGUACCCUCGGGUAAACUUAUAGCCUCCUGUCACAUACAGUGGUUGGGACUGAGGAACGCAGCACGCCUUUAUGGCCGGGAUUCGUCCACGUACGUGCU